rnacentral:rRNA from 1 species
GACGAACGCUGGCGGCGUGCCUAACACAUGCAAGUCGAACGAAACUUCUUUAAAGGAUUUCUUCGGAAUGAAUUUGAUUAAGUUUAGUGGCGGACGGGUGAGUAACGCGUGAGUAACCUGCCUCUAAGAGGGGAAUAACAUUCUGAAAAGAAUGCUAAUACCGCAUAACAUAUAUUUAUCGCAUGGUAGAUAUAUCAAAGAUUUAUCGCUUAGAGAUGGACUCGCGUCCGAUUAGUUAGUUGGUGAGGUAACGGCUCACCAAGACCGCGAUCGGUAGCCGGACUGAGAGGUUGAACGGCCACAUUGGGACUGAGACACGGCCCAGACUCCUACGGGAGGCAGCAGUGGGGGAUAUUGCGCAAUGGGGGAAACCCUGACGCAGCAACGCCGCGUGAAGGAUGAAGGUCUUCGGAUUGUAAACUUCUUUUAUUAAGGACGAAGAAAGUGACGGUACUUAAUGAAUAAGCUCCGG